GGGGCCGAACUAGGAUCGACGUGUGUUGAAAAGCGUUGCUUUCGCUCGGGCUGAGUAACCCGUUAAAGGCUCAAAACCCAUAAGUGCCAACGACAACGAAGCACUUGCUCUUGCAGCGUAAUUGAGGGCCUCACGGCCUGACAUUACCCUAACAGAACGCGGUUGGACCGAACCGGGCAACAGAAUCGGAUUCCAGCGGCACGGGGAGCGCCGGGCAACAGAAGCUCCCCACC
rnacentral:tmRNA from 1 species